GACGAACGCUGGCGGCGUGCUUAACGCAUGCAAGUCGAACGGAAAGGCCCUGCUUUUGUGGGGUGCUCGAGUGGCGAACGGGUGAGUAACACGUGAGUAACCUGCCCUUGACUUUGGGAUAACUUCAGGAAACUGGGGCUAAUACCGGAUAGGAGCUCCUGCUGCAUGGUGGGGGUUGGAAAGUUUCGGCGGUUGGGGGUGGACUCGCGGCUUAUCAGCUUGUUGGUGGGGUAGUGGCUUACCAAGGCUUUGACGGGUAGCCGGCCUGAGAGGGUGACCGGCCACAUUGGGACUGAGAUACGGCCCAGACUCCUACGGGAGGCAGCAGUGGGGAAUAUUGCACAAUGGGCGGAAGCCUGAUGCAGCAACGCCGCGUGCGGGAUGACGGCCUUCGGGUUGUAAACCGCUUUCGCCUGUGACGAAGCGUGAGUGACGGUAAUGGGUAAAGAAGCACCGGCUAACUACGUG
rnacentral:rRNA from 1 species